rnacentral:rRNA from 1 species
UACGAAGGGGGCUAGCGUUGCUCGGAAUCACUGGGCGUAAAGGGUGCGUAGGCGGGUCUUUUAAGUCAGGGGUGAAAUCCUGGAGCUCAACUCCAGAACUGCCUUUGAUACUGAAGAUCUUGAGUUCGGGAGAGGUGAGUGGAACUGCGAGUGUAGAGGUGAAAUUCGUAGAUAUUCGCAAGAACACCCGUGGCGAAGGCGGUUCUCUGGCCCGGUACUGACGCUGAGGUGCCGAAAGCGUGGGGAGCAAACAGG